AACGUAGGAGACGAACGUUAUCCGGAGUUACUGGGCGUAAAGGGCGCGUAGGCGGCCUGCUAAGUCGGAUGUGAAAUCCCUCGGCUCAACCGAGGAACUGCAUCCGAUACUGGCGGGCUUGAAUCCGGGAGAGGGAUGUGGAAUUCCAGGUGUAGCGGUGAAAUGCGUAGAUAUCUGGAGGAACACCGGUGGCGAAGGCGGCAUCCUGGACCGGUAUUGACGCUGAGGCGCGAAAGCUAGGGGAGCAAACGGG
rnacentral:rRNA from 1 species